rnacentral:misc_RNA from 1 species
GAUGAAGAACGCAGCGAAAUGCGAUAGGUAGUGUGAAUUGCAGAUGUAACGUGAAUCAUCGAAUCUUUGAACGCAAAUUGCACUCUCUGGUAUUCCGGGGAGUAUGCCUGUUUGAGGGUCGCCAAAUCGACAUCGAAAUUCAUUUGCUUUUGUAAAUGUUUAUCGGAUUUGAGCCGUCUUUUUAUUUUUUUUAAAGUGGCUUAAAAUGUAUUUUUUUGGUAUCGAAAAACGUUAUUUUACGAUCCAAUCGAUCAAAAAACAAACGUUUCGAAUGCCGUCUUUUAAUGUAAUACGUUUGACUGUGUCAUACAAUCAUGGUUUCAUUCGUAUACGAGUUUAAUUUUUGACCUCAAAUCAGGUAAGAACACCCGCUGAACUUAAGCAUAUCAAUAAGCGGAGGA